GCUUCGGUAGCUCAGUUGGUCAGAGCGAUACGAUGCGUUCCUAUCGGUCGGCGGUUCGAAUCCGCCUCGAAGCC
rnacentral:tRNA from 1 species